rnacentral:lncRNA from 1 species
AGGAAAGCAAGCUUGGUUAUCCGAAGUGAUGAGAUUUUAUCGGACAAAAAUACCCUCAAUCUAGAGCUCAAGACAUGAGGAGUGGAUAACUAAAUAUAUUCAGGUAAUUAGAAAAUUUGAUUAGGGUAAAUUUGUCAUAUAAAUCUUAGCGCGGCGUGAAGGCGGGAACGCUGCUCCCGGCCACUAGGGAAAGGGCUGCAAAAAUCUAACCUUGUUUAUGAGGUCUCGCUGGGCUUCUUUAAUAUUCCUCCGAUCAUCACCGUUAAUUUUGUGAAAGCGAUCACCAAUCAGGAGAACCGCGCAUCCGUGCGUCUUC